UUCCUACGGGGCGCAGCAGUGAGGAAUAUUGGUCAAUGGCCGGAAGGCUGAACCAGCCAAGCCGCGUGAGGGAGGAAGGCGCAGAGCGUCGCAGACCUCUUUUGCCGGGGGACAAAAGGCCGGACUCGUCCGGUCCUGAGGGUACCCGGAGAAAAAGCAUCGGCUAACUCCGUGCCAGCAGCCGCGGUAAUACGGAGGAUGCAAGCGUUAUCCGGAUUUACUGGGUGUAAAGGGAGCGUAGGCGGUGAUGCAAGUCAGAAGUGAAAGCCCGCAGCUCAACUGCGGGAAUGCUUUUGAAACUGUAU
rnacentral:rRNA from 1 species